AAGAAAAUCCAUGGCGGCGCGGCAAAUUCAGAAGCGAAUUCUGAGUCUUCUCUCUACCAAAACCUACAUCGCUCAAGGAUUACCAUGGAGUUCUGUUUCUCCUUCAAGGUCAUCUUUUGGCAUGAACGAUAUAUUUUCAAGACGGUGUCUUCAAACAGUUGCAGGAAUCACCAAGCAGGCUGUUGAAGUAGGGGAAACUAAUAAAAACUGUGAUCCAGAUACUAAUACCGAUUCUGCUGCUGCAGUUGUUUCUAGUAUCAAGAAAGAGACCACAUACAAGUACACUGUGCAAUCUAAUCUUAAAACCUCCCCAAGACAUGACCUGAUGAUGAUCUUCACUUGCACAGUAUGUGAAACCAGAACCAUGAAAACAGUUUGUCGCGAGUCAUACGAGAAAGGUGUUGUGGUGGCUAGAUGUGAUGGUUGUAAAAACAUACACCUUAUUGCUGAUCGUCUCGGGUGGUUUGGUGAGCCUGGUAGCGUGGAAGACUUCCUCGCUGCUCGCGGGGAGGAAGUGAAAAAGGGCUGUGUUGAUACUUUAGGUUUUACACUCGAAGAUCUGGCAGGAAAGAAAACACUGGAAACUAUUAGGGGAGAAGUAGAAUCCAAAUCUGAGAUUUAGAAGUCAAAUCUGGAUAUAGAGAUUAAACAAGUUGAUUUUGUAAUGAACAUUGAAUCUAUAGUUGCUUUGGCAAUGCUUACAGCAUUUAUUUGCUUAUAGAUAUACUUAUUUAUGAAAACCAAAUAAGCUUCAACCGCCAGCUAAAGUAAGGAGGAUUGUUCAAGUCCUAUAGCUCAUGUUCACAUACCUAGGAGGAUUGUUCAAG
rnacentral:misc_RNA from 1 species